GGGCCGGUAGUUCAGCGGUAUGAAUGCUUGAUUUGCAUUCAAGAGGUCGGGGGUUCAAAUCCCCCUCGGUCCACCA
rnacentral:tRNA from 1 species